CCAUCAACUUAGUUUGUUUACGUUCCGAAACGUUGUCAAACGUGAGCGGCGCUGCUUACUGUAUUUUACAUUGGCAUUUAGCAGUCUCAGUCAUGGACACUAUUCUAGAACAACAGAGACGCUAUCAUGAGGAGAGAGAACGGCUUAUGGCAGCCAUGGUGAAGGAAUGCUUACAUAAAAAGAGUUCCUAUUGCGUUGGAGAAAUGGAUUAACGAGUGAGACGCACCCCGCAGUCGGAGCGCGAACCCUGAUACUGUGUCACACUGGCAGGACGCCCGGCAAUGUUUAUUUUUUCGGGUAUCUUUUUCUUUAACUAAAAUUGCAUCUGGGAGAGUUGAUGAAGACUACAAAGGUAGUUUCAAAAUAUCGGCAUUUUUGUGUUUACAUACAUUUUCAUAGCUGUUUUGGUAUUAACAAAACAAGGUAUAAGAUUAGUCUUCCUACACCAUAAUCCUCUAUCAUCUACCUACACUCCGAAGUUUUGUGGACACUGCCAGCACGUAACAGUUUUUCUAAAUCUUAUGUAUAGUGUAGGAGGGUGGCAGAGAUUUCAUGGGUUUAUAGGUCUACAUGGACCAUUCUUUUAAAUUUCUCAAAAAAAAAAAAAAAAUAAUAAUAAUAAUCAUACAGCCAUUCUGAUUGCAUGUCUAUGUAAGACAAUCUUUCUAUUAUAAUAUGCAGAAGCCACUUUUGGUUUCUAUAGGCCUACGUUGACCGUUUAAAAAAAAAAUCUCAAAAAUCCAUGUCUGUAUAGAACAAUCUUUCUCCUAUAAUAUGCAGAGACUUUUGAGAAGUUGACCUUACUUUUUUUUGGGGGGUGUGAAUAUUUUUCAAAGGUGACUGUCAAAACACCCUAAUAUGAGAUUUUGAAAAUAUAUGUCACUUUUAUAAGAAGCACAUGAAAUUAUAGGAAUCCCUUAUUGCACCAUGUAAUAGAUGUAAUAAAAAUGUGGACCAAAACAUC